AUUUCAUCUUUGCUGCUAAACUGCGCUGUGGAGGAGAACGCCAACUUCUCCAGGAAGUGCGCGAUGCCGCUCAGGUACUUCGCUUCGUGCCGCGAUCCGGAGUUGAUGAGGAGGCCCACGGUGCAGAACUGCCCGAAUUUGUUCUGGGAGGCGACGCGCAGCCCGUUCUCCAGCACCGUCACCCGCGUCUCGAAGCGCUCCCGGCCCUCGGCGGCCGCGAACACGGCUUUGGGCACGCCGGGCAGCGGGCACGUCAGAGACACGUUGGGGUAGGAGCCGCCUCCGCUGUAGCUCCGGGCGGCCGCCAGCCCGCACCGCCGGGCCGGGCCCCACGCGCCGCGCCGCAGCCACGCCACGGCGGCCGCCAUCUUGCCGUGCCCCGGAGCCUCGCUUC
rnacentral:lncRNA from 1 species